GAUGAACGCUGGCGGCGUGCCUAAUACAUGCAAGUCGAGCGAAUAGAUCAGGCUUUUUCUUCUUUUCCGCUACCGGCGGACGGGUGAUUCCCACGUGGCUAACUUACCUAUAAGACUGGCAUACCUUCAGGAAACCUGAUCUCACACCGGAUAACAUGUUGAACCUCAUGGUUCUUUAGUCAUCGCCCUCUUUGCUGUCCCUUAUUGAUGUUACCUCGCCGUAUUAGCUAGUUGGUAAGGUAACGGCUUACCAAGGCAACGAUACGUAGCCGACCUGAGAGGGUGAUCAGCCACACUGGAACUGAGACACGGUCCAGACUCCUACGGGAGGCAGCAGUAGGGAAUCUUCGGCAAUGGGCGAAAGCCUGACGGAGCAACGCCGCGUGAGUGAAGAAGGUCUUCGGAUCGUAAAACUCUGUUAGCAGGGAAGAGCGAAAGUGAAAGUAACUGUGCAUGUCUUGACGGUACCUGAACAGAAAGCAACGGCUAACUACGUG
rnacentral:rRNA from 1 species